rnacentral:rRNA from 1 species
AAUCAACGCUGGCGGCGUGCCUCAGACAUGCAAGUCGAACGCGAAAGUCCCCUUCGGGGGACAAGUAGAGUGGCGCACGGGUGAGUAACACGUAGGUAAUCUACCUUCGGAUGGGGAAUAACAACCGGAAACGGUUGCUAAUACCGCAUAAUGCAGCGGCACCUAAUGGUGACAGUUGUUAAAGCGGGGGAUCGAAAGCCUCGCGUCUGAAGAGGAGCCUGCGGCGGAUUAGCUAGNGGUAAGGUAAUGGCUUACCAAGGCGACGAUCCGUAGCCGGCCUGAGAGGGCGGUCGGCCACACUGACACUGACAUACGGGUCAGACUCCUACGGGAGGCAGCAGUCGGGAAUUUUGGGCAAUGGGCGAAAGCCUGACCCAGCAACGCCGCGUGAAGGAUGAAAUCCCUCGGGAUGUAAACUUCGCAAGAACGGGAAGAAUAAGUAGGGGACAAUACCCCCUAUGAUGACGGUACCGUUUGUAAGCUCCGGCUAACUCCGUGCCAGCAGCCGCCGCGGUAAU